GGGAUCCCGUAUGCGGGACUGGAAUCAAGGGUCGGGGAAAGGGGAAUAGGGAGGUCGCGCAUCCCGCUUUUGCGGCAUAGGGUCUAAAGGGGACAGAGCGGGAUCCCAUCCGGGGUUUCCCUGUCAGCCGCGGUUCAGAAUCCUAUUAACAGAAUCAUCUACAUUGGAAACGACCUCUAAGGCUGUCGAGUCUAACCUACGGCCAAACCACCGUGUGAACUAGACCACGGCACCAAGGGUCACGUCCAGCCUUUCCCUAAGAGACAGUAACUCCACCACCUUCCAGGGCAGUCCAUUCCAAUACCUAAUCACCCGUUCUGUGAAGAAAUUCUUCCUAAAGUCCAACCAAACCCCCGCUUCGUGGCACCUUGUGAGGAGGCACCAUCGCUAUUUUCUGUGUCCUCUGGUGGAAGCUCCUCGCCCCCUUGUGCUCCGGGAGAAAGGAAAAAGAGGCGCCAGAAACAAGUGCAGUGCGUUUUCAUCGCUCACAACACAUGAUACAAUGUUGCUUGUACAGCGGAUGUUUAUCCAGGGCGUGGGCAUGAUGUGUUCUCCCAAUAAUUUGCCAGAGCAAGAUGAAGUGCGUUGGAAAUAAGUUGUGAUGGCUUCUCUCCAUGGGUCUGCCUCUUGUUCACGAAAACCAUUACCUGCUGUCUUUGGAAAUGCUCUCUGUGGGGGUGUGUGAGCACCAAAGGGAUGAGAUCUGUGUAGAGGGGACACAGCUCAGAAGGAAAGCAGGAAAAAGCUCUGCCUGGUUUGGGAACCUCAACCCAGCUGCAGGAAUGAAUCAGGCUGGGGGUAAUUCUGUGAUUCACACCACAUAUUGCAGUGCAAGGACAAGCACAGGGUCAGGGUUUGAGGGAGAGAAUGAGGAAGAGAGGUUCUUAUGACUACUUGGAGUGGUCACGAGGCUGGGGCAGGGUGCCAGGCUGCUCCAGAGGCUGGGAGGAGACAGGCUGCCUCCAGCAGCCACCCAGAGCAGGUGCAGCUCUGAGGCCAUCUGCAGUAUAGCCAUGCCUGUAGUGUGCACAGCACCUGGUGGUGGGACCAGCAUACGAUCAGCACAGAAAAGAACUUUUUCCCAACCAAGCAUGUGCUUAGAGAAAAAAAAAAAAAUCUUCAUUUAUUUUUAACCAGGCUAAUGCCAGUCCAAUUUAUUCUCCUUAUCCUUGGAAUUUCUUGUUGUUUUCUGGGAAUUUUAGAAGUCUUGUCUUGCAGCAGUCUCCAGCUUUCAUUAUACAGUUCAAGUAAUUGUGAGUCUUGCAUCACAGCUGGCUUGGUUCUACUUAUCUAGCCAGGCAUGGUCAAGCUCCUGGAAGUAUUGGCAAAAGCUGGCACAUUCCAUGUCCUUCUGGUAGAUCUCCACCUGAAUCUUUGGCUCAUCACUGUUCAAGAUUCCUGAGAUACCCAUAUAAAGCUCUUUGUACAGCAAGAUUGACCACCGUAUUUUGUGAGUUCUUAACUACAAAAUGGUACAUGUCAGAUACCUUGAACAGGUGCCUGGCAUGUUCAGGAUCAAUAUGGAAUUUGUACCUCACUUUAAAACAUCAGCAAAUCCCAAAUUUGGAAGGCUCAGGUCUAACUAGUAAUUUCACUGGCUGUUAGCUUUUGGAUCUGGCUCAACUGUACAUUGAACCAGAGAAUACAAAAUGCACUGUGAAAAAUACUCAUAGCUUUCAGCUGUACAAACAGAAAGUAAGAGCACCAAGCCUUUGCUUUUCACAUUGUUUUAAAUAAUAGUGGCAGCCAAUCACAUUGACCUGAAGCAUCAUACAACAGGGAAUGUGCCAGAAAAGAUCGAGAAAAAAGGUUUUUGGAGUAGCUUUGAAAGAUCCCACUCAGGUCUUGCAAUUAAAUUCUCUCAAUUUUUCAAGAGAAAUGUUACUGGUAAAUUGUAAUUAGCAUGGAGAUUUUUUUAUCAAAUCAGAAUUUUGCACCUUAAACUGCAGUAGUUUUUAUCCAAUGCUUCCAACCCUCAAACUAACUUAUAAGGCCCUAUGCAGGCAAGAAUAUUAUAAGACUGCUGGACAGAGUUUUUUCCCCUGUCAUGAUAAAAGCAGUAGUUGAAAUCAGUAAGGGCUUUAGAGAUAGUUCUCCAUUACUGUAGUAAAUAGACAUGGUUAAAGACUUACUACUUGGCAGAGCUCUUUCUCCACAGCUUUGACACAAACAGAAUGGGUUGGGGUUUUUCUCUCUUUACAGCUGUCAUGAUGAAAGGGAACAUAUCUCUGACUAUCUGUUUGCUUUGUGUUAUUUUCACUUUGAAAGUACAUGUUAAAGAUAGCAUUGUAGAAAGAGAAAUGGAAACAGUGUAAGGAUCAACUCGGCCAUAAAUCCUUAAGGUAAUGUUAAAUAUAAUUUAUUUGGUAUAAGCUAAAAUAAUUCAAGGAAAACAUAAUAAACAGUAAUAUAAAGGUCAAGUGUUACACUGACUGUAUAGUCUUGGGAAUAAAAAAACCAAAAUAUGUGGUAAGAAGAUGUAAAACUUAGAAGCAGUGCUUAAAUAUGUACUUAAAAUGUUACUGAAAUGAGACCGAGGUUGGGAUAAUCAAGAGAGGGUUCCUGUGAUUAUGAAAGGGUAUUUUUCAGUAAAGAGACACAGAAUGCACAACAUCCAAUACUGCAUGAACUGAAAAAUUAUAUCUAGAUGAGGGUUACCUGCUUAAACAGACACAGAAAUUAAUCAGUUCAAAGAUACAUGGUAGAGAGGUGGUAUGCAAUACUAGUGCUAGUAGGAGGGGUAUGAAACAGAAAUACUCAGAUGGCAGAAGGAGAGAAGCUGAAAUCAUCACCUUUGGACUGAGUUAUGGGACAGCUGCAAGUAAUAUGAGCUCUUAGUUCUCAUAGAUCACUAAAGAAGUGCAGUUUAGACUUCUGAUAGUACAUCAGUAAAGAAAUCCAAGCAAUGAAUCUGCCUUCAAGUUGAGUUUUGUGGCUGGGAUAUGAUAAGUGAGUCAAGGCCUUGAAAGGUCUGGAGUUAGCAAUCCAUAAAGGAGCUGAUUGCCACAGUGUGCAGCCUCCCAGGUCCUAUGAGCAAGAGACUUAGACCCUAGAAGUACCAGUGAAGAAUUAUAUUUACUUCUAAUUUUCUCCUAAGAUGAAUAGCAAUCUAUUGACCUUGGUUAUUCUGCAAAAACUUCAGGCUAUCCACAUUUAUUUCAUCCUUUAGGAAUAUAAGCUACUAAUUCUGUGACUAUUGAAGGUAAUGAAGCCCGUUUUUCUGCAAAGUUUCUUCCUGGUUGGCUAUUAUUUACCUGAAUUAUAUUUUCUAUUAUGACUGCAUAUGCCUAACAUCUUCUACUGCAGAGCAUUUUGACAGCAAAGAGCAGGCUGCCAUGCUCAGAAGUGGAAAUUUGUAUAAAUUUGCUGACUGGAUAGGAAGUUAUUUAAUGUUGGCUCCUAAAUGUUCAGUUCCUUGUGUCUCCUGUCUGGUUAUCUAUUUCUAUGAAAUUUCUGUGAACGAUAUUAUCUCUCAAGCUCCACUGAACCUGGAUAAUGCUUUCAAGGUUAUUGAACUUGGGACAGAGAGAGGCAGAGGUUGCAUAAACCUUGUUUUCAUAUAGCCUACCAGGCUAUAAUCAGACGGCAUCCUGUCUGAAUGCUGAGCUGGGAACAGAACCCUUUUUUAUCUGCAAGCUAUCUCCAAGUCCAGAAAAACAAGCAAACAAACCACAACAAAACAAACAAACAAAGGAAUAUGAAAACUGUAAUCCCCAUCUUAUCUAAAGUAUGGGGGAUUGUGUCGGCUUGUCUGUUGAUAGUGGUAGAGAAUAUUCUUAUGAGUUCCUGUAAUUACUUUAGGUUCAUCAUUACUUCACUGGGAGUUUUGUAUAUAAAGAAAAGCAGGCUUUGCAGAGCUAUUACAGUUGUUUGUGUGGAUUGGGUUCCUCCUCCACCUUAAGUAGUCCAGGGAAUACUUAUGCUGACAUGUUGUAAUGUUUUUCUUUAUAUUUCUCUCUAGUUAAUUUGGACACUUGAAAGAAAAUGUUCAUUCCCUAUAUUACAGUUUUCUUAGUAAGAAAUUUUGCAAAAGAGAUACAAGUUAACAAGACAAAAAUAAGAAACCUACUUUUUAGUGAAUUUACCCUUUAUUUCUGUUUAUUUUGCAAGUCACUCUAGUCCCAGGAAGCACUAGACUGAUUUAUACGGGUUUGCAACAGUGACUUAUUUGCAGUUUUGCAAAAUAUGCUAAGUUUCAUCAUUGAUGGGCAGGUAAAGUCACAGACAGGCCAAAACAAAAAAAACCCUAAUAUUAAUGUAUAUUAAAUCUUAUAAUAACUAAGAUAUACUAUCUUAUACUAUCUUAAAAACAUAUUCCACUGUCUUAUUUUGGACUUUUAAAAGUUCAGUUUUGAAACAUCCUUUUUUUCCCCUCCUAAAGUAUAAGCUGUACUUGUGAAUUGCUGCUUCUAAUCGUAUUCUAUGGUAAAUAUUUUAGACACAAUACUUGGAUGUAGUUUGUCACAGAUACUUUCAAUGCUCUGUAAUUUCUGAUGGUGGGGCCUGAGCACUGAGUUAUUUUUCAUGAAUAAAACAUAAGCAGUA